rnacentral:lncRNA from 10 species
GUUGGCUUUUACCUAUUUCCUUUUAAGAGAAUAUGUGCUAAAUGUGAAAUUCUCAUAACAAGUGAUAUGAUUAUUUGUUUGUAGUGUAUCAUUUUAUGUUGCCUAUUUAGUUUCUUCAAGUAUUAGGUGUGUAAAGAGUAAAAAGAAAAAGAAAAGAAAAGCCCAUUCAUAUCUUGUCUGCUAAAAAUAGGCUAUUCCUAUCUCUCUCCAGGAAGAAAUCUAGAGAGAAGCUCUCUAGUUAUCAAUCGGGUCAAUAUAAUGGAGGAAGGGCAUCAAGGAAGACAGGCAGCCUCUCUCAACACUGGAAAAAUGCAAGGAAACACAUUCUCCUCUAGAGCCUCUGGAAGGAACAGAGCCCCACUGACACCUUGAACUUAGCCCAGCGAGACCCAUUUUGGACUUCUGACCUCCAGAACCGUUAAGAUAAUCAACUUUUGCUGUCAUAAGCCACUGAGUUGGUAUACUAGUUAAUUUGUUGCAACAACAACAGGAAAUGAAUACACAUACACUGGGUUUCCACUUGGAAAAAAUACAGUGCCAAGGAAAGAGCGUUGACCAGACUGUCUUCCUACAGGGAUGCUUUUUUUUUUUUUUUUUUUUUUUUUUUCCUUGAGACAGGAUCUCACUCUGUUUCCCUGGCUGGAGUGCAGUGGCAUGAUCACAGCUCCCUGCAGCCUCAAACUCCUGGGCUCAAGUGAUCUCCCUGAUCCAGCCUCCUGAGUAGCUGGGACUACAGGUACAAACCACCAGGCCUGGCUAAUUUUUAAAUCUUUUGUAGAGACAGCAUCUCACUAUGUUGCCCAGGCUGGCCUCAAGCAGUUUGCCUCAGCCUCCCAAAGUGCUGGGAUUACAGGCAUGAGCCAUUGGCCCAGCCCUAGAGGGAUGAUUUAAAUUUUUUUUUUAAUUAUACUUUAGGUUCUGGGGUACAUGUGCAGAACGCGCAACUUUAUUACAUAGGUAUACAUGUGUCACAGUGGUUUGCAGCACCCAUCAAAUUGAACUCGUAUCUCUCACCAUAUACAAAAAUUUACUCAAAAUAGAUUAAGGACUCAAAUAUAAGACACCAAAUUUUGAAACUAAUAAAAAAAUAGAGAAAUGCUUUAUCACAUUAGUUUGGACAAGGAAAUUUUGGAUAUGACAUCAAAAGCACAAUAAACAAAAGCAAAAUUAGACAAAUGGGAUUACAGUAAACUUAAAAGCUUCUGCACAGCAAGGGAAGCAAUCAACAGAAUGAAAAGAACCUACUGAAUAAGAGAGAAUAUUUGCAAAUUACAAGUCUGACAAAGGGUUAAUAUAAAAAAUGUCUAAGAAACUCAGACUACUCAAUAAGAAAAAAAAGAAAAAAGAGAAAAAGAAAUAACACAAUUAAAAAUGGGCAAAAGAUUUGAACAAACAUUUCUCAAAAUGAAAUAUACAAAAGGCCAACAGGUAUAUAGAAAAACGUUCAACAUCAUUAAUGGCCAGGGAAAUGCAAAUUAAAACCACAAUGAUCAUCUCACAUCUGUUAGAAUGGCCAUUCUCAAAAAGACAAAAGAUAAGUACUGGUGAGAAUGUGAAGGAAGUGAAAUCCUUAUAUACUAUUGGUAGGAAUGUAAAUUAAUACACUCAUUAUGGAAAACAGCAUGAAGAUUUCUCAAAAAAAAAAAUCAAAAAUAGAACCAGCAUAUGAUCCAGCAAUCCCACUACUAAAUAUAUAUCCUAAGGAAUUGAAAUCAGUACAUUGAAGACAUAUCUGUACUUCCAUGUUUGUUGCAGUACUAUUCAAAAUAACAAAGAUAUAGAAUCAAUCAAGGUGUCUAUUAGUGAAUGAAUAGACAAAAAAAAUGUGAUAUAUAUACAAAAUGGAAUAUUGUUUAGCCCCCAAAAUGAACGAAAACCUGCAAUUUGUGACAACAUGAAUGAACCUGGAGAAUAUUGUGUUAAGUGACAUAAGCCAGACACAGAAAGACAACUACCAUAUGAUCUCACUCUUAUUGGAAUCUAAUAAAGUUGAUUACACAGAAGUAGAGUAGAAAGGUAGUUGCCAGAGGCUGGGUGGUUAGGGGGAAUGCAAACAUUGGAAAAUGUUAGUUAAAGGAUACAUAAUUACAGUUAGAGAGGAGGAAAAAUUUUCAAGAUAGCUGUAUUACAGCAAGGAGACUAGAGUUAAUGAUGAUAUAUUCUUAAAAAGUGUAAAGACAAUGAAUAUAAAUUACAUGCUUUUACCACAUAAAUGAUAACAAGGUAAGGUAAUUCAUUUAAGAGUAACUUAGAUUUAACCAUUCCACAUUGUAUAUGUACUUCAACACAUCAUGUUGUACACAGUAAAACAAUUAUAUCUGUCAAUUUAAGAAAAUAAAAGAUAUUUAAAAAGACAAACAAGAAAAGCAUUCAUGUAGUGAAAAGGGGGGGUGUUGAAAGAUACAUAGCAAAACACUGGUUUGAUAUUUUGAAGUAUUUCACUAAAAAUGGAGUUCAAUUUAUUACUCUUAAUAACAUCAUUUUUGGUGGUCUCCCCCAUAUUGUUAUACACUGAUUUGAAUAACAAGGGAAGUCCUCCUCUCUGUGAGAAACUUUCCCCUGCCUCACAGCCUCUCAGCAAGAAUUAUUGUUAUUAUAUAUAUGCCUUUGUGUUACAUAAGGGACAAGAAAUUUCAUUCAUUUUUCUACUUACUGGAACAGGGUUUAUUGCUGCCUUGACAUUGAGAGGCUGAAUGUCAGAAGUUUUUUGUUUUUUUUUUUUCCUAAGAAUAUGUUCUAAUCCAAGUUCAAGGAACAAAGCACUUUUCGCAGAACAAAACAUCUAGCUCUUCAGAAAGAUUGAGACACGUUAUCUAAGAUCUUUCUUCCUUCUCAAUUGACAAGACAUAUUCUUUCCUUAGCCCUCAAUUUCUGGGUAUGCAUUCAAUAAGCCUAUCAGGCCUUUUUUUUUUUCCUUUUGUGAGGCACUUGAUAGGUCUUUUUAACCUAAAAAAAUAAUGUCUUCUUUAGUGAGACAUUUCCUCUUCACUAGUUUCUUUGCUACAUUUUUUCUCUUCUCUCAUCAUAGACAUACUCUAGAGAAUAUAGAGCUUUGUCUAUUAACACUCAGUUUAUAUUUAUAUUCUACAUUGUGAAAAAUUUGUUUCCCUUUAUCUUCUAAAAUUUGGUUAUUUUUAUUAAACUCAAUUAUAUUAUUUUUAAUUUCCAUGACUAUCUUACUAGAUUUCUAGUUGUUCUUAUUUUAACAUACAUUUAUUCUUUCAUGGAAUAUGAAAGAUCUUUCAUGGAAUAUUAAACAUCUCUAUGAGGAUAUUAAUUGAUUAUUUUAAAUUGUCUUCAUUUUACUUGAUCUUAAUUCUUCCUUAAGGUCUAUCUUUCAUCAAGUCUUUAUUCUAAUGACUAGAGAGUUUUGGCUGACUGUUCACUUAAAAAAUAAUAUCUUUAAUUUUUAAAGCAGUUUUAGGUUCACAGCAAUAUUGCACAAAAAGUACAGAGUUCCCAUCUACCCCCGUCUCAUGCACGCACAGCCUUCCUCACGAUCAACAUCCUGCACCACAAUGAUAUAUUUGUUACAAUCAAUGUGCCCAUGUUUUAAAGAGUAAAGUUCUAAAAUACUGAUUAGAAAUUCUGUGUGAGUAGUGUAUGUUAACUGAUUGGUUUAACAAAUAAUUAGUUAACAACUGGGUUUUUCAUUGGAAACACAAAAAUGUUAUUUUCCAUAUGUCUUUUCUACAGUGUAGUUCAAUUUCUUCAGAAAUGUGUUCUACCUGGGUUCAAACACAAGAAGUUUUUUUUCAUAGCUGUGCUGGAAAAGAAGCCUGGGGAUUCUUGGCAUUUAUUAGGUAGACUCAUGAUGCAGCAUACACACUGAAGGCAAUGAAGUCUAGCAUCAGUCUAACCUGGCCAGGUUAUGUGGAAAUUAGUUGAAACACAAUAACUGAGAUUUUGAUUCUAUUUGUGUUACAAUACUUUUAUUGCAGUAACUAAUGAAUAAAACUACGCAGUAGAUGAAAUAAUGGUUACCAAAGAUAUGAAGUCCUAAUGACAGAAUCUAUACAUGUUUCCUUAUAUUAGAAAAAGGAUCUUUGCAGAUGUGACUAAGUUAAGAAUCUUGAGAUAGGGAAACUAUUCUGGACUAUCCAGGUGGGUCCUAGAUACAAUCAAAAGUAUCUUUGCAAAAGAGAAGCAGAGGAAGAUUAUAUACAAAAGGAAAAAAAAAAGGUAGCCAGGAUGGUGGCUCACACCUGUAAUCCCAGCACUUUGGGAGGCUGAGGCUGGAGGAUUGCUGAGACCAGUCUGGGUAACCCAGUGAAGCUCUAUCCCUACAAAAAACACAAAAAAGUAGCUGGUUGUGGUGGUCCAUGCCUGUAGUCCCAGUUAUUUGGCUGAGGUGGGAGAAUCACCUGAGCCCAGGAAGUUGAGGCUACAGUGAGCCAUGUUCACACCACUGCACUCCAGCCUGGGCAACAGAGUGAGACACUCUGCCCUGCCUCAAAAAAAAAAAAAAAAAUAGAAGAAAAGAAAAAAAAAAGAUUAAGAUUAUUGAACAGAGAGGCAGAGAUUGGAAUGAUGUGGCCACAAGCCAAGGAAUGCCAGCAGUCAGCAGAAGCUGGAAGAGGCAAAAAAUAGAUUGUCCCCUAGAGCUUUUCGAGGAAAACUGCUCCUGUCAACACCUUAAUUUCAGCCUAGUGAUACUGAUUUUUGACUUCUGGCCUUCAGAACUGUGAUAAAAUCAACUGAUUAUUUUUAAGCCAUCAAGUCUGUGGCAAUUUGUUACAACAGCCAUAGUUGAAUGAAAUUUUAUUAAUUUACCUCAGAUUUCUUCAUCAUAUUUGACUUGAAACUUCCUUUUCCUCCUAUUUCCUUUGUAUAUGGUAAUCACUUGUGUAUUCUAAUGUAGUAUUCUCUGGGUUCUGAAUAAGUUUUAAUCUGCUUUAGGAAAAAUCUCAAACUAAUUUUUCUAAUUACCUUUGAGAUAUUAGACUCUUUUUAAAGAAAAAAUUAAGACAGAAGUUUGAAUUAAAAUAACACUUUUAAUAAGUGCUUAUUUUUUAAAGAGAUAGUGCAGAAACUGUUCUUCCAGACCUUCCUCUCCUGAGAAGAUUCAUAAUGAAAGAUGAGAUGCUAUUCUUAUGUGUCAACUUGGCUAGGCUAUAGUGCCAGUUAUUUAAUCAAAUGCCAAUCUAGGUGUUGCUGUGACAGUAUUUUGUAGAUUUAGUUAGCAAUCGUGUAUGAUCAGUGGACUUUAAAUAAAGGAGAUUGCCCUUGAUAAUGUGGGUAGGACUCAUCAAUCAGUUGGAUACAAUCAGUUUAGUGUUAAGAGAAAAUACUGCGCUUUCUUAGAGAAGAAAAAAAUCUGAUUCAAUACUGUAUCUUAAAAUCCUGCCUAAGUAUACAGCCUAAAAAACUGCUAUACAGAUUUCAGACCUGCCAGCCUCCAUAAUCACAUGAACCAAUUUGCUACAAUAAACCAAUAUCUCUCUCCUCUCUCUAACUAUAGGUACACAUAUAAAUAGAUAUGUAUGUAUAUAUAUUUACAUAUGUAUACAUAUACAUAUAUACACAUAUAUUUAUAUAUACAGGUAGACAUACAUGUACAUAUAUAAUGGAUUCUUUUUCUUUGGAAACUCCUACUUGUACAAAUGGUCUGAAAAGAUGUUGACUCAAGCCAAAUCCUGGUGAUGGUUUGAAUCUUUCAAUAAUAGUAUGUACUAUGUUUUGAGAAUGCUCUCUAAGUCAAAUGUUUGUUAUAUUAUCUUCAUCCACACCAGUAAUGUAUAAUGAAGCCAUUAUAUCCCAAGGUACAAAUGAGCAAGCAGAGGUUGAGUGAAGCUAAGUACAAAAUUCA